rnacentral:rRNA from 1 species
GGGGCUCGAGAUAACACUCAUCAACCCUGUGAACAUACCUAAAACGUUGCUUCGGCGGGAACAGACGGCCCUGUAACAACGGGCCGCCCCCGCCAGAGGACCCCUAACUCUGUUUUUAUAAUGUUUUUCUGAGUAAACAAGCAAAUAAAUUAAAACUUUCAACAACGGAUCUCUUGGCUCUGGCAUCGAUGAAGAACGCAGCGAAAUGCGAUAAGUAAUGUGAAUUGCAGAAUUCAGUGAAUCAUCGAAUCUUUGAACGCACAUUGCGCCCGCCAGUAUUCUGGCGGGCAUGCCUGUUCGAGCGUCAUUACAACCCUCAGGCCCCCGGGCCUGGCGUUGGGGAUCGGCGGAAGCCCCCUGUGGGCACACGCCGUCCCUCAAAUACAGUGGCGGUCCCGCCGCAGCUUCCAUUGCGUAGUAGCUAACACCUCGCAACUGGAGAGCGGCGCGGCCAUGCCGUAAAACACCCAACUUCUGAAUGUUGACCUCGAAUCAGGUAGGAAUACCCGCUGAACUUAAGCAUAUCAAAAGGCCGGAGGAA